rnacentral:lncRNA from 1 species
GCCAAAGUCCGCCUGUCUCCGCGGUGUCUGUCGAGCUCCGUUCGCUCGUCGCGCCACUUGAAGAUUCCCCCCAGCCAGGCUGUUUCUCGCGCGUCCCAACCCUUUGGUUCAGCUGAGACGAUCUUUUCGCUGAGCGAAUCUGACAGGGGCUCGACGUUUUUGGCUCCUGGAGCGUUUUCCUUCUCGGCAGAGCAAGGAGGCACGUUUGCUUCUGUCUCCGUUCCCCGCCCACGGCGACGCUUGCUCCCGACAGAUCGCGAAGCAGAGGCGCGGGAGGAGGUGGAAUCAGUGGAAAGCCGUUUUCGGCACGUUUUCCUGAGAGAGGAAGACAAAGCAAGCAUUGCUCUUCUCUCUUCCUCUUCGUCUCCCUCCUCAAGGAUCACCUCCGGUUCCUCGUCCCCAACCAGAGACAGUUGACCGCUUCGCGGAUGUCUCCGGGGCGAGCCGGCCUGCAGGCCCCCGUCGCUCUUCGAAGCCUGCGAAGUCGAGCAGGAAGAGGCAGAGCGAAGAGCGACUUCGGAAAAAAGAGACGGUCGCCUCUUUUCUUCCGAGCCACCAACCGCGUCUUCAUUUCUCUUUGGGCGAGACACUGUGUCCAUCUCUUCUCUCUUAGGUUCCUCGCUUUCUUCUUCCCGCCUUCUCCGCGCGGAACGGUUUUGCAGUCUGUCUCCUUCAGCCGAGAGCUGCAAGGAAGGCAGCCCUUUGUCAGGGCCCGUCUCCAGUAACCGCACCAGUCGAUCGACAAGAUUCCGGUCCAGAGGAGACAGAGAAUGCGGGGCCGACAUUGCAAUCGACGGGGAGCAUUCUUCCUCACUCCUUCCCACCCCGCACAAGGAGAGAUAGAACAGCGCUUCUUCCCUCGCCGUGUUGAUGGCAGUCAAGCUCGGCAGUCGCCGCUUCCGUGCGUUGCCGCCGUUCUCGGGGUGCGGGACGGA